CACGUAGGGCGCAAGCGUUGUCCGGAUUUAUUGGGCGUAAAGAGCUCGUAGGCGGCUUGUCGCGUCGACUGUGAAAACCCGUGGCUCAACCAUGUGGUCUGCAGUCGAUACGGGCAGGCUAGAAUUCGGUAGGGGAGACUGGAAUUCCUGGUGUAGCGGUGAAAUGCGCAGAUAUCAGGAGGAACACCGGUGGCGAAGGCGGGUCUCUGGGCCGAUAUUGACGCUGAGGAGCGAAAGCGUGGGGAGCGAACAGG
rnacentral:rRNA from 1 species